rnacentral:lncRNA from 10 species
GCAGUGGCUCUAUCUCAGCUCAUUGCAACCUCUGCCUCCCAAGUUCAAGUGAUUCUUCUGCCUCAGCCUCCCGAGUAGCUGGGAUUACACGACCACCAUGCCCAGUAAAUGGCAUGGGGAAAAUCUGAUUGCCACAGACAGAAGAAUGAAACUGGAUGCCUAUUUCUCACAAUACACAAAAGCGAUUCAAGAUUAAAGACUUAACUGUAAGACUUGAAACUGUAAAAAUACUAGAAGAAAAUCUAGGGAAAACUGUUCUGGACAUUGGCCUAGAAAAAGAAUUUCUGACUAAGACUUCAAAAGCACAGUAAACAAAAAUAGACAAACGGGACUUAAUGAAACUAAAACUCUUCUGCAGAGCAAAGAAAAUAAGAAACAGAGUGAACAGACAACCUGCAAAAUGGGAGAUAGACAAUGGAGACUAAGAAGAGCAAAGGAAUGACAGAGAGAUACCUUGACUAUGAAUAAUAGUUUCAAUAAGGAAGACAGAAUGAGUUCUGACACGAUGGUUGGGAGCUGUGACAGGCAGACGAAAAAUGGAGCCAAAUGGCAUGGAGGUGUGUCAUCACUGCUGGAUUUUACCUUGAUCUACAUUCAGUUAUCUACUUCUUUUCAAAAUGCUGGGCAUUCAUUCAAGAAACAGCAUAUAUGUUCUGACUUUGAAGUAAUGGAUGAACUGUCAUGUGCAGUAUAUGGAAAUAAGUUUUAUUACCUUCUUCCCACAUUAACUCAUCCAUCCAUUCAAUAGCCAUUUAUUGAGAAGCUCACUCUGUGUUAGGCACAGUGGUGUCAUGAUGUUGGAACAGUAACAAUAACUCAACCAACCAGGGCUUGUCUGAAUACAAUCCUACAGCAGCAGGAGCUGUGGAGAUAUAGAAGGCAAGGAAGACCAGGUUGUGAGGGAAGACGAAUUUACUCCCAGGAAUGUUGGGAUUGAGAGUAAUAUUCUCCAAUAAUGGUGGAAGACAGAACAAUAAAAGCCCACCAGCUCCUUCUGCAUGGUGGGAUAAGAGAAAAGCCAAGGGCAGAAGUGAGAAAAAUAACCAUCACCAAACUGAAAAGAAAACCUUUAUAAAAAAACUGGAUUGAUAAAUGACCUUUAGUAGUGGAAAGAUACCAUUCCAAUGAAGCAUGAAUUGAAAGGAUUUCUUCUGAAAGCUAAUUUACAUUUUUCUUUUUUUUUUUUUCAUUUUCAGUGUGUUUUAGCAGGUGUAUUGUUCUACAUGGUUAGUUUCUUUACCUCUUUGAGAAAAAUGGGUCAGCUUGACACAUCUGGAUGAAAGAAUCCGUUAGGUGAUUAUGAUUGAAGACAGAUUAAGCCUUGUUAUGAGGGGAAUAUUUGGGGGCUUACCCUGAGGUGAUAUUUGAUGAUUUAGCUGUGGGAGAAUUUCCCUCCCAAGAUCAGCGUGACUGACACUGAAAUUGCUACAGGGGAACCGGACCUUUCCAAGAGGUGACAAGGACAUUUACCUGGUACAACACAAUGGUUCUGGACUGGAAGUCUAGUCCCAUUGAUGAAGUUCCCAAAAGAUGUCCAGGUCCUAAUCCCUGGAAUCUGUGAAUAUGUCAUCUUACACAUCAAAAGAACUUUGAAAAUGUGAUUGAGGUUAAGGACCUUGGAAUGAGGAGAUUACCUUGGAUUAUCUGGUUGGGUCCAAGCUAAUCACAUGAGUCCUUAAAGGAGAAGAACCUUUUUUAGCUGGGUCAGAGAGAGAUGUGAUGAUGAAAACAGGCUCAGGGAGAUGCACUGUAAGAAGGGCUUGACCAGUUGUUUUUGACUUUGAAGAUGGAGGGAAGGGCCAGGAGCCAAGGAAGGUGGGUGGCUUUUGGAAGGUGGAAAAAGCAAGGGAACAUUCUCUCCAGAGCCUCCAGAAAGGAGCUCAGCCCUGUUGACAUCUUUGUUUUUAUUUUUUAUUUUUAGUAGCAUUGAGGUCUCACUAUGUUGCACAGGCUGGUCUUGAACUCUUGAGCUCAAGCACUCCUCCCGCCUUGGCUUCCCAAAGUGCUGGGAUUAUAGGCAUGUGCCACCACAUCUGGCUUCCUACUGACAUCUUAACUUUAGUGCAGUGAGACUCAUAUUUGAAUUUCUGACCUUAUAUUAUAGAACCAUAAGACAUUAUAGAAUUAUAUAGAAUUAUAGAACCAUAAGACAAUAACUUUGUGUUGUUUUAAGAUACUAAAUUUUUGGUAAUUUGUUAUGGCAGCACAAUAAAACCAAUAUAGCAUUAUAUUAUGCCAAUAUCAUCUCUUUGUUGACUAUUGCUAUUAUAGUUUGUUUUAUGGGUCUUGUGUAAACAAUCAAGCUAUAAUAUUGGGUUAACUCCCUAAGGAAAACUUGGAAUAUAGAACAUUAUUUUAAAGACUGAAUUAGGUAAAUACACCUGCCAGUGAAUACAUUAACAAAUUAAUUAAUAUAUUCACUCUUUUCACUCACAAAUACUUUUUGAGCCCCUAUUACUAGCCAAACAUUUUGUUAGAUUCUGAGAAGGGUCUGCUAGACAACAUUGUGACUAUAGUUAAUAACAAUAUAUUGUACUCUUGAAAAUUACUAAGAGAGUAGAUUUUAAGUGUUCUCACCACAAAAAAUAAGUAUGUGAGGUAAUGCAGAUGUUAGUUAGCUUGAUUUAGCCAUUCCCCAGUGUAUACAUAUUUCAAACCUUCAUAUUAUACAUGGAUAAAUAUAUACAAUUUUUAUUUGUCAAUUAAAAGCCCCUCGAUGAAUACAGUUUCCAUUCUGUCCUUGAGGUGGAGCUUGUAGACUUGGUGGGGUCCGGGGAUCAACUUUUAAACAGGCAGUUCCAAAGUGUGGAGUGGAUAGGCUUAUUCUCUUUGUUGCUUUUAUGAUAGGUAUUUAGAAUGCACUUUCCUCUGUUAAGUUAAGCCAGCCACCAUUCCCUCAUUCAGUUUCCAUCCUCCAUGAAUUUGCUCACAUCUGCGGUCUACUGUCACUCAUUCUUUCCUUCUCUUCCUGAGGGCUUGUGUGACUUAUGUUCUUGGCUUUCUCUUAGGAACAUGGUGCAGCUUGGCCCUGCAUUAUCCAUCUGGAAAAACAGAUCAUAAAACAGUCCUUCUCUGUACUAAGUGCUAAAGUAGGAGGAAGGGCAUAAGUCAGCUCCCUGAGCUAUAUAUCCUUGUUUUCAGGAGCUGAGCUAGACACAAGCAGAACUUGCAAAUAAUUUACAUUUCUUUCUGCUGAGGUGGUUCAGAAUAAGUUGCAACAAACAUGAACAGGAAUGGUGCAGUAAAU